rnacentral:rRNA from 1 species
ACGGAAGGCAGCAGUGGGGAAUUUUGGACAAUGGGCGCAAGCCUGAUCCAGCCAUGCCGCGUGAGUGAAGAAGGCCUUCGGGUUGUAAAGCUCUUUCGGCCGGGAAGAAAUCGCAUCCCCUAAUACGGGGUGUGGAUGACGGUACCGGACUAAGAAGCACCGGCUAACUACGUGCCAGCAGCCGCGGUAAUACGUAGGGUGCGAGCGUUAAUCGGAAUUACUGGGCGUAAAGCGUGCGCAGGCGGUUCGCUAAGACAGGUGUGAAAUCCCCGGGCUUAACCUGGGAACUGCGCUUGUGACUGGCGGGCUUGAGUACGGCAGAGGGGGGUGGAAUUCCACGUGUAGCAGUGAAAUGCGUAGAUAUGUGGAGGAACACCGAUGGCGAAGGCAGCCCCCUGGGCCGAUACUGACGCUCAUGCACGAAAGCGUGGGGAGCAAACAGGAUUAGAUACCCUGGUA